rnacentral:misc_RNA from 1 species
CACGCCAUCCAGUAACAAUGCCAAGUAAAAAAACUGCUCGGUUUCAUUUUUAAAACAACUGUAUAAUCAGUUCAGUUUCAUGAUGCUGGGUAAAGAUUAAAGAUUUCAUGAUCCUAUAACUCUCACUCGUAUUUAGGUAUUAUGAACACUUCAAAAACAAGCGAGACUAUCGAUUCAGCUUCUUCUCAAAAACAAACCUUUGACAUUAGUUACAAAAGUUCUAGCACUCUAACAGGUUUUUCAUGCAGUAAGUACCUGUGAGAAACCACACCAUGAGAAGGAAGGAGAAUGAAAAUAGCCCAAUUAGAAAGGGCCAGCCAACAAAAACAAUACCUAGGCAGAGAACCACUGUGAAAGGAAAGAAUGAUCUGAUUAUUGACUUCCAGUUGAUCCAAUGUCCCUUGAACAGUAUAAGAGCCGCCACAUUUAUCAUGUUCCAACCCAUUGAACCACGAUAACAGAGUCGAUUCAGGCAGUUGGCAACAAAUGAAUGAGAGUUACAUGUAAAAAGGUUGUAGGUUUUAUGCUCAAAGUGACACACGCUUGACUGAAGAGCAUCAUCCCAUGUGAUUGCAGCCCCAUACUCGGUGUGCAUAUAGCCAUGCUUGCAUGUGUGCCCAGCUAGGUUUGGGGGAAAGCAACACUGGAUUAACAACUCAAAUACCAGAACAAAUUUGUCAAUAGAACAACAGAAGUAUCUCUUUCAUGAAGCAAUGAUGGGAAAAUGAUCAAAUACUCCUGAAGCACUAAAAAUCAAUGCUCCGUACACUCACAAAAAAUCAGUUAUCCUUGAAGGCGCUAUGAAAUUGUGAGUGAAGGUACGUGUACUGGAAGCACCUAAUAAUUUCUCACAAUGACGACAGUAACAUACUAAAUAAAUUCAUGAUUCCAAAUGAGUUGCCAUCUUGUUUUGGAAAUGCGGUGGCUUUCCCAACAUCAAGAUAUGACUAAGAAGAAAACAAAAAUCACCACACUGAGUAAAUCUAAUUCAUCUUUUUGUAUUAUUCCACAAAUGUAGUGAUUUUAUAAGCAUGAAAAUUGAGUCUUAUCAUUUGCAUGAAAUCACCCUUAAUAAAUGAUUCUUAUACUAAUAGAAGGAGAGAGAGAGAGAGAGAGAAGGGAAAAAAGGAGGAUAUUUCACUCAUUAUAAAAUUCUACGAUGUUAUACCAAACUAAUAGUAUUGAAAACCAAUAAUAUCCACUUUUGAUGCUCCAUAUAUUCCAUAACAAUUAAAUAUAGCAUAUCUAUUAUAAUGCAACCCCUAAACAAUUUAUUCUAAAAAUGGUAAUUAGAACACACACACACACACACACACA